ensembl:lincRNA Gm16702 predicted gene, 16702
GGAUGCUCAGCGUGUUCCUGCUCUCAGGAGUACACGUCUUACCGGGAUUCUGUCUUACCAGGUAGGCGUUGGACCUGGAAGGGAACCUGGUUGAAGCCUUGGGCGGGGAUGCUGACCAAGCUUCGGGCUGCGACUGCAAACAAGCAAAGAAAGGUGGUGGGCAAGGCGAGCGGUGGCCAGGAACAAAGCCUCAGGCAAGGAAGAAGUAAACAAGCAACCACAGGAAGCCAUUAAGCAGAGUGGGCGCUAAUGAGUGCGCGGCGGGGCCCUGCGCACCCGCCCCGCCAAAACCACCGGGGACUGCCUCGCCGGGCAAUUUGGAGCCCUGAGCCCUGCUGGCAGGCUAUAAACCUGUUUGUAGUCUCCAUCGGUUCCCCCUUCAAGUUUGUGUCGUUAGGGGUGAGGAGGAAAGACCAUCGGAUGCUGUGAUCUCUUCUCAGGACCUGCAGUUGCAGGGGGCAGAUGGGCUUCCAACUCCAAGGCAUCGCAUUGCAUCGCAUCGCAUCGCAUCGCAUACCAUAGCAUCGCAUACCAUAGCAUAGCAUAGCAUAGCAUCGCAUACCAUAGCAUAGCAUAGCAUCGCAUCGCAUCGCAUCGCAUCGCAUCGCAUCGCAUCGCAUCGCAUCGCAUCGCAUCGCAUUGCAUAGCACUUUCCAGCUCUAUAAAAGCUAUCCAGUACGGACGAAGCUUCCAAGGUGCUGCCAUGAGAGGAGGAGAGUGAAGCCCACCCCCUGCAGCCCAGGCUAUACAGCUAUAGGCAGUCUGUGACUGUUACGAUAACAAUGUAUCUGAUGCUGUUUUUGUGAAUGGAGAAUAUUCUUUGAGAAUUUACUCAACAAUGUUUGUACACUAGUGUCUUAGUCAGGGUUUCUCUUCCUGCACAAACAUCAUGACCAAGAAGCAAGUUGGGGAGGAAAGGGUUUAUUCAGCUUACACUUCCACACUGCUGUUCAUCACCAAGGAAGCCAAGACUGAAACUCAAGCAGGUCAGAAAGCAGGAGCUGAUGCAGAGGCCAUGGAGGGAUGCUCAUUACUGGCUUGCUUCCCCUGGCUUGCUUAGCCUGCUCUCUUAUAGAACCCAAGACUACCAGCUCAGGCAUGGUCCCACUCACAAGGGGCCUUUCCCCCUUGAUCACUAAUUGAGAAAAUGCCUUACAGUUGGAUCUCAUGGAGGCAUUUCAUCAACUGAAGCUCCUUUUUCUGUGAUAACUCCAGCCUGUGUCAAGUUGAUACAAAACUAGCCAGUACAACUAGUAUCAAUUCAACUUUAAGAAAUUAGCAUGUUUUCGCAUUUACUGUUUUAUUUUUGUUUGUUUAUUUUUGGAGAUAGGGUUUUUCUGUGUAGCCCUGGCUGUCCUGGAACUAUCUGUGUAGAUGAGGCUGGCUGGCCUGGAACUCACAGAGAUCUGCCUACCUCUGCCUCCCAGUGACAGGACUAAAGGCGUGAGCCACCACUGCUCAGCUCCAUUUACAUUUAAUCGUUUUGGGUUUUGUUUUGGUUUGUUUACAUUCUUACAUUUCAAUGGCUUUUUUAUUUUUUAUUUUUUUUUUUUUUAAAGAUUUAUUUAUUUAUUAUAUGUAAAUACACUGUAGCUGUCUUCAGACACUCCAGAAGAGGGCAUCAGAUUUCGUUAUGGAUGGNNNNNNUUGUGAGCCACCAUGUGGUUGCUGGGAUUUGAACUCGGGACCUUCAGAAGAGCAGUCGGCGCUCUUAACCACUGAGCCAUCUCGCCAGCCCCCUCAAUGGCUUUUUUAAAAUAGGAAAGAUGUUUUCAUCGAAUAUGCCAAAAUCUUUAUAAUAUUCUUUGGGGAAGCCUAAAAUCCUAUUCCCCAACAGACAAAAGUGAGUGAGGUUCCUUCCAACAGUUAAAGGAGCAAACUGAAAACUUGCUUUUGGGGGCUGGAGAGAUGGCUCAGCAGAUAAGAGCACUGACUGCUCAAAACAACAACAACAACAACAACAAAAAACCCAGGACGUGGUGGUGCACGCCUUUAAUCCCAGCACUUGGGAGGCAGAGGCAGAGGCAGGUGGAUUUCUGAGUUCGAGGACAGCCAGGGCUAUACAGAGAAACCCUGUAUCGAGAAAAAAAACAAAAAACCCUCCCCCCCUAAAAAAAAGAAAGAAAGAAAGUUUGCUUUUGGUACUUAAAAACAUACCCACUUGAAAACUGAUUAAAAACAGCUUUGGUACUUUGGGGAGCCUGCAAGACUGCUUAGUGAGUAAAGGCACUAGCUGCCAAGCUGACUAUCAGAGUCUAAUCCCUGGGACGCACAUGGUGGGAAGGGAUAACCAGCUCCCUAAGUUGUCCCCUGAGCUCCUCCACCUUUGUACUGUGGUGCACGUGCAUGUACACAUACGCAUGCAUAAACACAGAAUAAAUACAUACACU